AGCGCAUACGGUGGAUGCCUUGGCAGUCAGAGGCGAUGAAAGACGUGGUAGCCUGCGAAAAGCUUCGGGGAGUCGGCAAACAGACUUUGAUCCGGAGAUCUCUGAAUGGGGGAACCCACCUAGGAUAACCUAGGUAUCUUGUACUGAAUCCAUAGGUGCAAGAGGCGAACCAGGGGAACUGAAACAUCUAAGUACCCUGAGGAAAAGAAAUCAACCGAGAUUCCCUUAGUAGUGGCGAGCGAACGGGGAUUAGCCCUUAAGCUUCAUUGAUUUUAGCGGAACGCUCUGGAAAGUGCGGCCAUAGUGGGUGAUAGCCCCGUACGCGAAAGGAUCUUUGAAGUGAAAUCGAGUAGGACGGAGCACGAGAAACUUUGUCUGAACAUGGGGGGACCAUCCUCCAAGGCUAAAUACUACUGACUGACCGAUAGUGAACCAGUACCGUGAGGGAAAGGCGAAAAGAACCCCGGAGAGGGGAGUGAAAUAGAACCUGAAACCGUAUGCGUACAAGCAGUGGGAGCCUACUUGUUAGGUGACUGCGUACCUUUUGUAUAAUGGGUCAGCGACUUAUAUUCAGUGGCAAGCUUAACCGUAUAGGGUAGGCGUAGCGAAAGCGAGUCUUAAUAGGGCGUUUAGUCGCUGGGUAUAGACCCGAAACCGGGCGAUCUAUCCAUGAGCAGGUUGAAGGUUAGGUAACACUGACUGGAGGACCGAACCCACUCCCGUUGAAAAGGUAGGGGAUGACUUGUGGAUCGGAGUGAAAGGCUAAUCAAGCUCGGAGAUAGCUGGUUCUCCUCGAAAGCUAUUUAGGUAGCGCCUCAUGUAUCACUCUGGGGGGUAGAGCACUGUUUCGGCUAGGGGGUCAUCCCGACUUACCAAACCGAUGCAAACUCCGAAUACCCAGAAGUGCCGAGCAUGGGAGACACACGGCGGGUGCUAACGUCCGUCGUGAAAAGGGAAACAACCCAGACCGCCAGCUAAGGUCCCAAAGUUGUGGUUAAGUGGUAAACGAUGUGGGAAGGCUUAGACAGCUAGGAGGUUGGCUUAGAAGCAGCCAUCCUUUAAAGAAAGCGUAAUAGCUCACUAGUCGAGUCGGCCUGCGCGGAAGAUGUAACGGGGCUCAAACCACACACCGAAGCUGCGGGUGUCACGUAAGUGACGCGGUAGAGGAGCGUUCUGUAAGCCUGUGAAGGUGAGUUGAGAAGCUUGCUGGAGGUAUCAGAAGUGCGAAUGCUGACAUGAGUAACGACAAUGGGUGUGAAAAACACCCACGCCGAAAGACCAAGGGUUCCUGCGCAACGUUAAUCGACGCAGGGUUAGUCGGUUCCUAAGGCGAGGCUGAAAAGCGUAGUCGAUGGGAAACAGGUUAAUAUUCCUGUACUUCUGGUUACUGCGAUGGAGGGACGGAGAAGGCUAGGCCAGCUUGGCGUUGGUUGUCCAAGUUUAAGGUGGUAGGCUGAAAUCUUAGGUAAAUCCGGGGUUUCAAGGCCGAGAGCUGAUGACGAGUCGUCUUUUAGAUGACGAAGUGGUUGAUGCCAUGCUUCCAAGAAAAGCUUCUAAGCUUCAGGUAACCAGGAACCGUACCCCAAACCGACACAGGUGGUCGGGUAGAGAAUACCAAGGCGCUUGAGAGAACUCGGGUGAAGGAACUAGGCAAAAUGGCACCGUAACUUCGGGAGAAGGUGCGCCGGCUAGGGUGAAGGAUUUACUCCGUAAGCUCUGGCUGGUCGAAGAUACCAGGCCGCUGCGACUGUUUAUUAAAAACACAGCACUCUGCAAACACGAAAGUGGACGUAUAGGGUGUGACGCCUGCCCGGUGCCGGAAGGUUAAUUGAUGGGGUUAGCGCAAGCGAAGCUCUUGAUCGAAGCCCCGGUAAACGGCGGCCGUAACUAUAACGGUCCUAAGGUAGCGAAAUUCCUUGUCGGGUAAGUUCCGACCUGCACGAAUGGCGUAACGAUGGCGGCGCUGUCUCCACCCGAGACUCAGUGAAAUUGAAAUCGCUGUGAAGAUGCAGUGUAUCCGCGGCUAGACGGAAAGACCCCGUGAACCUUUACUGUAGCUUUGCACUGGACUUUGAGCCUGCUUGUGUAGGAUAGGUGGGAGGCUUUGAAGCGUGGACGCCAGUUCGCGUGGAGCCAUCCUUGAAAUACCACCCUGGCAUGCUUGAGGUUCUAACUCUGGUCCGUGAUCCGGAUCGAGGACAGUGUAUGGUGGGCAGUUUGACUGGGGCGGUCUCCUCCUAAAGAGUAACGGAGGAGUACGAAGGUGCGCUCAGACCGG
rnacentral:rRNA from 1 species